UUGGAAGUAAAAGUCGUAACAAGGUCUCCGUUGGUGUACCAGCGGAGGGAUCAUUACUGA
rnacentral:rRNA from 1 species